rnacentral:misc_RNA from 1 species
AUUUGAUCAAAACACUCAGAUAUGGGAUUUUAAUCUGGGGCAGUUGAGGAGCCAUGAACAGUCUAGCUCAUUGGAAGCAGAUUACAGUGAGAGCGACAUGGCGUGCAUGAUGAAAAGCUAUGGUGAACUCAUAAAAGGAACAUCAUUAGCAACUUCAAAAGUAUUAGGACUCUCAGGCAUUAACUGCUCCGUUGUCCAUGAUGAUAUGACAGCCUUCAGUAAUAAUUCGAAUAACCGAGCAGCAAGCCAGGGGCCAGCGACAUCUGAGAGCAACAAUUUACCAAGAAUAAAGACUUCAUCUGACUUAGGUUGUGUAAAGCCGAAAUGCGGUGGAGUAUCUACAGAUCUCAACUUCAUGGACCAAAGCAUUGUUGUGGGAGGUGACAACACUGGUGAAGAAACACUCAAGGCUGAUAUGGAGCUUCUGGCAAAGAACAGAGGAAAUGCAAUGCAACGUUAUAAGGAGAAAAAGAAAACACGAAGAUAUGAUAAGCACAUUCGAUAUGAAUCGAGGAAGGCCAGAGCCGAUACUAGAAAGCGAGUUAAGGGUCGAUUUGUGAAGGCUAAUGAAUCUCCAGAUGGCUGAGUACCUGUUGAAUGGCUGAGGAUGAGGAUCUUUUUGUCUCUGUGUGUAUAUAUUUCUUAGUCUACCUCAUAUUUGUAAACUUAGGUUUGCUUUGAUGCUAUCUGUGGCACCAAUUGUUAGUUAAUAUUCUAGUCACGCGUUUUGCUUCUGGUUAUAUAUUAAGUGCUUGCACAUACAACCUUGAUCAUCAAUUAGGUUUGUGGCUAGAUCCCUCACCG